UGUUUCUCUCUCUGUCUCUCCUCCUCCCUUCCACUCUCGCUAAAAAUUAAUGGAAAAAUAUCCUUGGGUGAGGAUUGACAAGAAAAUAAUAAUAAUAAAAAUAAAGUGAGUUGUGACAUCAAGAUUGGUAUCCGAAUAGUGCUUGCACCUAGUAAACAUAGUGAAACAUUUAGCAGAAUAGCAUGUAGAAAUUGCUACUUGUGCUUUAAAAUAGAAAUUUGCCUCUUUCUGCCCUGUGAAAGUCAUUUGACAAAUUGUCUUAUUUUGUACUUACAAAGAUAAGGGUUAUUCACUUAAGAAUUUCUGCCCUUUCUUGCCUUUUGGCAUCACAGAACCUUAGAGAGUUAAUAAUAAGCCUUUGGUUUUCAUGGGCUAGUAGAAACUAAGAAAAAAAUUUUAGAUAAGGUCAAUUCUUAAUAUUACAGAAUAUUAUUUUAAAACAAACUACCUAUUUACUAAUGCCGUCGUUUUAUGAAAAACAUUGUAAAGGUGGAAAGGAAGUAAUAUUAGAAUUCAGGACAGUCAUUUCUCAAGAGAGAACAGUUAGCAAUUCUGUUGUCCUCUAAUCAUGUGUGCACACAAAUGCACUCUAGACCUUCUUAUUCUUCAGGAGGCCGCUGAAAACCUGUUGCAGACCUUACUAGCCCCCCAGUGAAUGUCAGGGAACCCCUGCUUUAACACAGCAAUAAAAACCACUCUUCACAUUAAAACAUGAAUGUUUUUAGCUGCAUGGAUUUGUUUUCUUUCCCUGGAUGUAUGAAAGGAAAAGGGAUCCAGUAGAAUCCAUUUGAGGUAACAUUUUUUUUUUUAGUUGAUUUUAGAGGGAAGGAGGAAGAAAGGGAGAGAGAGAAACAUCGAUGUGAGAGAGACACAUAGAUCAGUUGCCUCUGUGUACGUGCCCUGACUAGGAAUCCAACCCACAGCCUUUUGGUGUAUGGGAUGACUCUCUACCCAACUGAGCCGCCUGGCCAGGGCUGUGGUUGUAACAUCUCAAAGUCAGACAGAGCUCUGCAGCCCAAGCAGACAUGUUGGAUAGUUUCCUGACUUAACCUUGGUAAAUUCACUAGGUUGAGUAUUUAUUUUAGUGAAAUGGGUCUGUCUGAAUACUUCCUUAAAAGGUGUAAGUUAUUACUUUUCAAGUACAUGAAAUUUUGAGAUAUGCUAAAAAUUACCUAAUUUCUAAUGGCUGUGAGAAUGCAUUUAAUAAACACAGUAUCACAAAGCUUCAGAUCAACCAGAAGUAUGUUUAUAAUUUCUGUUAAUAUUGCCAGGUUUGUGCUUGGAAUGCCACAGAAAGCCUCCCAUCAGUUGUAUUUCUGUCGCCUGUGACUCAAUAGUAAUGAUUUAGAAUGAACGUAUUUAAUUAUUAAUAUUUAAUCAGCAAUACUUCUGGGUGUUUUUUAACUUGAAUCAUUUUACCCUUUAAGGUUUAGAAAGCACUUUCAUAUAUAAAUUCCCCCAGGCUUGCACAUACUUUAUUUAGUACAUUCUUAGUAAAUAAUUGUUUAAGUAAUACUGGCCCUGCGCUCAAAGGUUAAGCCCAAGUUCACGCCAUUAACAUCGUCUUAUAUUAAUGCUCAAGCCUCCUGGCUUUUUGACCUCUGCGUUCAAAGUAUGACAGAUUGCUGCGGAGCUUAGGAAUCAUGCAGAAUCUCAUUCAAGGAAACCUCUUUGUUUCGCAGCCAUGUUUCUUAGAUAUCAGGAGUUUUUGGAAAGUGGAGUUCUGUCUGUUGUAAUGUGAACCGAAGUCCAAAGUUAAUAUUGUAGGUGUCAUUUAUCGUAAUAUCUAAAAUUUGAGUAAUGCCAUAGUUACAUUGCCCUCAAGUGAUAGCUAAGAUCAAGAGAGUGAGGAAUAACUUCCAUGUAGAAGGAAUAUCUCUUAAGAAGACUCAUUUAGAGAAAUAAUUUGCAUAGUGCUUUUUAAAAAAAUCACAACAACGACUUUAAUAGUAACUGCAGAUUCGUGCAGACUCCACUUCUCAGCCAAUGGAAAGCCAGAGCAAAUCCAGGAAGCCAGCAGCUCCUGGUGAUUUUCCCUUAAAUAGGGCAGCAUUAAGAUGUUUUUGUAAACAUUUGGCAGCUGAAUUCCCACAGAAUGAAGUGUAGAGAAUUAUUGCAGCCUGCUCUAGGCAUGUUCAGUUUAAUCUGUAAAAAGCAAUGUGCAGUCCUUUAACCCCAUUUCAUGCUCCUCCUGGCUUUGUGAUGACUGGCCACGUAAGGAUCUCACGUGUUCUUUCGUCCCUGGGUGCCCGUGGUUUAAGCCCCUGUUCUGGGUAAUGGUAGCCACAGAGAAUUAAAUCCUUAGGAACCAGCCCUGCGGUAAGCAGGCUCACAUUUGAGUGCGUGCUCUGAGGUCGGCAUCGUGCUUAGUGCAUUAUCUCCAUUUAAUCCCCACAAGCAGCCGGGGAGCAGUGUGUGUGUUAGCAGCCCUGUUGUACAGACAAAGCAGCGCAUCGCACACUUCUUCUGAGAUCAGAAGUGGGGUGAGCAGACGCCUGAUGGUUGGACAGGGCACGUCGUCCUACCUGUGGGAAUCAGUGUCUCAGGAUCCCUAUUUUAUUAUGGGACAUUGGAAAGAAACAGGAGCCAGUAAAAAACUUGAGAAUUUUAGGUCCAUAAACACUGUUCUGCAUCUUAUUUUUUUUUUUAAAUAUAAAAGUACUGCAUGUGUUUUUCAGUAACUUCUUUUAUAAAAGACUUCCUGCUCAUCUCAGAGACACACGCAUAAAGACAGACCUCGUGUAAAUCUUGGUGCUUGGACCCAACCAGUGUAAUCCAGAUGGACAAAUUAUAGGGACCCUGUACAAAGCCUCGGAGACCGUCUAAGCUACUUUUAGUCUUGGCAGUGAUACCUCACUUAUGGUUGCGACCCACAGGUUGCGAACUGCUGCUUUAAAGGCUCCAAACUAUAGGCACCUCUUUGACAGUAACAAGAGUGGACUUUCUUAUGUCUUAGGCUCUGAGCAGAACUGCAAUUGUCCUCCCAUUGGAGAGAAAUCAGACUUAAUGUUUGUACACAUGGGAUUUUACCCCGUUAGAAUGAGUGCUCAUGUGUUCAGAAUAAAACAGUAUGUUUUGUAGGCAUUGGACCUGCUCUGAUUAUCUUACUAUUUGCCUUUCUCUUUUGACAGAUUGAAUCCAUGUAAUCAUGAUUGAAAUUCAGGCAGGCAAUGAACAGGAUUAAGAAACCAAAACCAGUGAAUUUUGAACUAAUUUUAGAGUUUUUUAAAAAAAGUUGCAAAAAUACUAUAGAGGCUCCCCUAUACCCUUAGCCCACCUCCCUUAAUAUUAACAUCUGAUAUAACCACAGUGCAGCUAUCAAAACUGGGGGAUUGACAUUGGUACAGUGCUAUUAACAGAUUUACAGCCCUGAGUCCAGUAAUUUCUCCGCUUCUCCCAUUAAUGUCCUGUCCCUGUUUCAGGCCCCCCAUUUGCAUUUACUUGUCAUUUCUCCUUCGUCUUUUCCAGUCUCUAAGUCCCUCUGUCUUGCCGAAGUCUUUCCUGUUGGUAUUCUUAAAUGUCUUUUUGCUGGUAAGGUUCAUGUUGGUGCCUCCACUGUGAAGUAAUUUGUUUCCCUUUUUGUAGUCAGUAAAUAUCUUAGGGAACUAUCUUGACACUAUGGAUUUUAAGUCAUUUUAAUGUACAAAUCACUAGCAUCCAGAUAAUAAAUAGAUGUUCCAAAGGCGCUUACCAUUGCUCAGAUUUAUAAGAACUAGAAUUGAGUUAACUUGACUUUGCAGGGUGAAGCUUGGACACCUCAGAGGCUGGCAUGCAGCACCUUCCUGUCCAAGGAGACAUGAUUCAUUCAGUCAUAGGAUGGAACCCUCCUCUUUAGAAAGAAGCAGCGCCCUCCCCGCAGGCACCCUCACAAACGCUAGAGCCAGAUUAGAUGCAGCAGUAGCUUCAGUGAGGGAGGAGGUAAUGGGCUUGCUUAUUUGCUUGGAUUGGGAGCGCUGCACUGGUCCGGAGUGGCUCUGUGAAAGGAGGCGGGGCUUAGCUGGGGGUGUGGGGUGCAACUCUUCCAGUGAUGAUUAAAGGGCUGGGGAUAAGUUAGGUUCAGACUUAGAUUUAUUUAUUGCCUUCAGCCAUUUCAGGUUUUCAACCAAGUUUCUAGAAGCACUUUUACCAAGUUGAAUUUCUGUCCUUAAAUAGCUAAACUCUCUUUUCCUGAUCCAAAUUAAUACAAUGGAAUUUCUUAUUAAGAAUGAAUUAUUAAGUAAAAUGGAAGCACUGGGCUAGGACAGCAAUUGCUGUAAUUUGUUUUCAAAGCCUUCAAAGUGCUGCAGCGCGCAUAGAUCACAGGCACUGGCUUAAGUGCCAAAGCACGGGCAUUAAUUUCCUUUCGGAGUGGAUUCCAGGUUCACAGGAUGUCAGAACUGCUGACUUGGCAGUGACGUCCCAUUUGUAACAUGUUAGAUCAGGAAACAGAUUGAUUUAUACGUUGAUGUAAUGGAUCAAGGCACAGUGUGCGCUUAAGAAAAUGGAGAGCCCAUUAAAUAAAAGCAUUUUCAGAGGGAAGAAGUACAAACAUAGAAAAGAUCCGAUUAUACUCUAGAUAAGGUGGGGUACGUUUGAUUAGUGGAUUCCUAGACACGGUCCACAGAGGCUUUUUGUAUUUCAGAUGAUACCUUCUUGAGAGUCUCUUAUGACCACAAGGAUUAAUCUUUCUGAACUCAGAAGUGAAUCACUGCAGCAGAUGAGCUGUCUGGAAUGGUGCCAGUUACUCUCCUUUUUCUUGGUGGUAACUGAUGUGAGGGUGUCGCUGCUUAGCUGCCUCUUCCUGUUGCUUUAACCUCUGGUAUUUUAGAUUCUCUUUAGGGAAGGGAAUGCUGACCAUCUCAGCACAGAGAUCAAAUGCACUUACCACUGCUGUGUUGACCUCAGCGGUUGACCCACACACUGAACAUUUAUGCAGCUGGAACCCUUGCGGUCUUUUAUCUAACAGCCAUAAUGAGUAACGCGUGGAACGUAAUCUUUGGUGCUGAUAAAUAGAGGGCUGCCUGCACAGUUCCGACCACUCCACAGCUGGGCCUUGGGUGACCUCGUGCAACUGACUGACCCUGUGUCUUACGUGUAUUCAUUUUUGGAAUCGAAGAGCCCAAGCUAGCAUCGCUCACAUGUGGACUGUGCAACUCCAGCUUCCUGAGCCAUUGCCCUGCAUAUACUCUGGGUUCCUUUCAGUCUGUUCUUCACCCUCAACCAGAGAAAGCAUCAGAGCUGCAUUUUGAAAAUACUAACUUUGUGCUUAAAACCUCUCUGCACUUCCAGCGAUGAAGACCAAAGUCCAUUCUUGGUCUGCAGACUGUUUAGUCUGUCCCUGCAUGCUCCCCUCCCACCUGUACCACUCCAAUUCCUCUCCGCUUACGAUGCUCAAAGCUCUGCUCUACUCAGUGCCAUUCUCUUCAGGAAGCUGUCCUGAUCAUCUCAUCCACGCCCAAGGCCGAGUCCCUUUCCAUAUGCUUCUUCCGUGCCGUGCUCUUUUCCUCCUCAGGAUGCCUGGGCAUGGGAUCACGCUUUUUGGGUGUAUGGACUGCUGCUCUAGACCGCAAGCCCCGUGAGAGCAGGGGGUCGUAGCUUUCUGCUCACCCUUGUGUCCUAAGCAUUUAGCUUGUUGGUUUGCAUAAUAGUAGCUGCUCAAUAAAAUUUGUGUACGUGAAUUGAAUAAAAGUACUGGAACUUUA